CCGUGAAUCUGGAAGGGAGGUUUCGGCUCGCGAAGCCUUCUCUCUAGGGUUGGCAGUAAACACCCGAAGCGUCGUGGUGAGGUUUGGCUUACGGAGGUUUUGUCUUUCUGCGUCUCUGGGGCUAUGCCGGCCUGAUGGUGCCUUUUGAGUACAGAGGAACAACACCGUGUCAUAACCUCCGAGGACACAAAAAUACCAAACCCCGGUUCACGGGUGUAAACGGAUAGCGAGGAAGUGUCCGAGCACGCCUUGGAGUAGGCGGUGUUGCCUCGGCUGUGAGCUGCAGCACUGUGCUCCUGACAGCAGGGGUUACGGAUGGAGCCUCAUCUUAAUUGAAUUGUUUGCUUUUUUGGACAGUGUAGGUCACACUGUAUCAUGUCAGCAGCACCUGCUCCAUUUCUUCUGUUUGUUAGAAAUUCUAAAAAGACGAUGUACACAAUGAUCUAGGAUCUCGCUGCAGCUCCUGCACAAGAACGGUUAACUAAAACCAUUACGUAUGUCCAACAUUAAAUGUGACUUACAGCUCUGUUAGUAAUUAGUACGUGCCCUCUGUCAGCAGCCUGUCACGCCGUUGGUGUCCACUGACUGACUCAAUACACUGUCAGGAUUUUUGCUGCGGGCACGGGGUGUUACUGCUGUACCUGUGCGCUCAGGGUGUUCUUUCCUUCCAGCUUCGUCUCGGUGGUGAGGCACCGCCGGCACGCAGGCGAGCCCUUGCAGAUGCCGCUCUGGGAUGCCCAACGUGCCUGAGCUGUCAGCAGGCACCAGCGCGGGUAAGGGAUGGGUGCAGAGGCACGUGCGCAGCUGUGAUGGCAAGACUCAAGACUUGUCCUCUGACUGUUAGUAACAGCCGUGCUCUUUGCCCUUUACAGGAAUGAUCAGAAAAGUGAAUUGUGUAGAAUCCAAGGGGUGGAGGCUUAUAUGUGCUCCAACUGAUCUCAUCUGGGUUCCACAGACUUAAUUUUUGCGUGAUCAGUUACAACUUUUUGUCAUACAAAUAACUCCCCAGCCGGAUGCUUGAAUAUUGUUGGACACCACCUUUUAUGUAGUUUUCACAUCAGCAAGAGAGAAAAUUUUGGCCACAGGCAGACAGUGCACAACUCCCUGUCUCCAUCUCAGGAGCGUAAUCAUCCUGAGUUUCUUGGCAUCUCUGAGUACUUGUAAGUCAGUGGGAGAUGGGCAAGAGCCAAAAUCAGAAACUUACAAUUGAGAGAGGGAGAAAAAGCCCAAAGAAUUAAUAUUGGUUCACUGACUGUGACCCUACAUGUUCAAGUAUUUUGUGGUAUUAGCAGUUCAUUCUGGCGCUUGUGCUGAAAUGGGUUCUGUGGUCAGCCUCCUGUCUUUGCUAAGUUUUUCCAUUUCCAGACAGGCUGCUGCUUUUUUUUUCCAAGUGAUAAUGUUGCAUUACCUUCCCAUUUAAAUAUUCUCAUGUUUAUGCUAAUCCCUCUUUUAUACAGCGUAACUCAAAAUGGGUUUUGUUUCAGGUAUGCAAGUACAUGAAUUGGUUUCUAUCCAGUAUGCUAGUUUAGAUACACAUCUCACCUGCAGAUUCAUCAGUUUCGUUCUUUGUUGGUGAUUUUUUGUGUCAUCUUUAUGCUGUUACCUAGUGUGUACUUAGAACAUUUCACGGCACUUUUUUUAUCUCGUACGAAUCUUGAUUUAAAAAAUGUCUGUUGACCUGAAUGAAUAACCUAGAUUUUGUGUGCAAAUGUCCUUGGACUGAUUGAGCAAGAUUCCGUCUUUUGGGUCUCCUAAGUCCAAAGAGGAGGAGAUGCCACCCAGUCAGCCUAUGCUUGUGCUUCCUUUGAUGCUAACGCCAGCAAAGCUCAACUAGUAAGGGGAAAAAACCUAACACAGCCGCUACUGGGCUUAGCUCUUCUAAGGUUAAUGGUUUGGAUCUGUGUUUGAGAAUUGAGGUUGAAGGCUGCUAAACUUAAAAAGCUGUUAACUUUCCAGUUUGUUGGACAAAGAAAAUUCUUUUACUCCAUUGCAGGGAAGGUAGCUGUUGCUCCCGUCUGAUCGUGUCAGGUUUCUUCCAAACCCACCUUCACAACUCAGAUAAAGGAGUUGCAGAGGUACUUCGUGUUUUCCAAAGGAGAUCUGGUCUUGAUGCCAAGGAAUUUUCCUCCCUUCUGCUAACCAUUUUAAGCACUUAUUUCUGCACAGCAGAGCUGCAAAGAUUUUAAAUGAUAAAUAAGAUGUGACAGAGCAAGAACAACCAGACAGACAUCCAGUAAUGGCAGACAAAACCUCUGUUACAGGAAAUCACUCCCAUAUCAUACUUGUAAGAUCUGAGAGAUCUGUGCAUGCUUACUAUCUUAGCAGAUCUGGUUUUGUCAUGCAACUUUAUCAACAUUAUUUAUACUUAUUUGUGCUAGUGCAAUUUUUAGAGCAAAGUCUCUGGUGUACUAUCAUGCUAGCAGACUUGCAGUGUGCCCAUGGACAUUCCUUUGAGAUUUAGCAGCUGAAUUUACUUGCUGUUCUUCAGGAGAUGUGUAUUUGAUUGAAAGCAGCUUUUUUCUGUACACAUUUAAUAAAGUGGCAGAGUGAAGCAAAGUAUGCCUAAUUCAUAGUUACUGAGAAACAGCAGUUAACUGCCGUAAAGUUUCAUCAAUUAAGACCAAAGGGACUUAACUGACUUACUGAUGGCUUUAUAGGACAGAAAGAUGAAUACCGGUGAAUCACCUGAGGUAUGCAUCAAAGCAAUAAAACCUUUCGCUAAUUUCAAUGACUUUGGAUUUUAUCUCAGUUGUAUAUGAUAGUCAUUUAAGAGUUUGGGAGUUGUUUUUAUGCAUAAUACUAACAACCAGCUUCUGUCCCUUCCUCCUACAGAGCAGGAUGACCUGAUGCGGGGGAAGGGGAGGACAGCAUAUUGUGGGAAUAAUAUGCUCUGCUAGCGGAGGCAAAAAACUGUAUACUGCAGUUGGAUUUCCAAAAUUUCAGACAUAUUCUACUUCCCUUACAAUUGCUUUCUUUACUCAAGGAAGCAAAAUUAAGCAGUAUCACUAGACAGCAAAAUCUGUUGUUUUUUCUUGACACCUUAAGACAAUCAGUGAUCAAAAUUUAAGACGCAGACUUAAGGGUAACAGCACGUCAGGAGUUCUCCACAACCAUGAAACGUUGUCAUACAAAGCUACUGCAAGGUCAGUGUGUUAUUUAUGUGUUUUUCCCUCUGUUGUUCUAGGAAGCUGUGCUCUCCCCUAGUGAAAAAAAGAUCUGGAAGCAAAGGGAGGUAGGCCUGGGGGCACCAACCAUGUCCUAUAAAUGCUGCAGUGUGAUGAAAUACCGAGGCAAGAAUAGAUAAAUUAGCCACUGCUGACUGAAAUUGUGUGAUGUUACCCUCUGUUGUAUUGGGGAUUUGAAGAAAAGAGAGAAAACUUGCAAGUAAAAUCCUUGAGUCUCUGAGCCUGCCACGACAUGAACUUGGACGUGACAUGUGGAACUUGCAUAGUUUCAGCCCCCUCAGUUAGUGUCAUACGUGUCAUCUGCAAGUACAGAGUCUGCUUGGUUAGAUGAUUAUACCAGAUUUGUGUUGCUCAAGAAGAAACAGAAGCUUAAUGUCUUGAAGGUUCAGCUUCGCAGCAUGGCCAGGCAAUCUGCCCAUCAGAAAUGCAAGCCUCUUUCAUGCAUGGCCAGUUCCAAAGUUCUGUGCAGCAGGACUCAGGAAUGAAAAAUGUCAUUUACAAUUAUGCGUAUUUUCAUCAUCUUCUAUCAUGCAAAUCCCCCCACCCCAAGUAUGCAGCAAAUGUUUUGUUUGCAUAUGUAGGUCAGCCACAAAUCUUCAGUGGUCUAACAUAAACAUUGGAAGCAUAGGUUGAUGUAUACAGAUUUAAACCCAGUCUGAAGUGUAACACCACUGACAUUUUCCAAGUGGAGUCUGUUUACUGGAUAAGUUUUCUUCUGACUUUGCAUUUUAUAAAGCAUUGCUUUCUUACUGAUUUGUGAACAUACAACUGACAGAAGAUACUCACUGUCAUUGCAAAAGGAACUAUUAACUUCAGAUGUGGAUGGAUAGUUCUUAAUGAGUAACUUUUUUUUUUUAUAAUAGCUUGAGGAAUGUGUUCUUUUUCAAAAUGGUACAUUAAAGUAUUUCUGCAAAUAAUUCUUAUUUUGCCGCUGGCAGGAGGCCAGUUUUAUAUGAUAUUUUAAAAAGAUUGUAUGUUCUUUUUGCAAAUU